AGAAAAUUAAUUUAAUUGUCUUUAUCAGUUGCAAUCCUUAAGCCUGUGUAUCACAUAAGCUACCUCCCAUGGUGCUAAUGCAUGUAUUGAACACAUGAGCUUAUCUUACCCAGUUUACUGCAAUUUGAAUUCGUUUUUGCUUAUAAUGAGUACUGAAAACGUGUAAAGGUCCUCUGUCUUAGUCUACUUCACAUUUCACGCCACUUUUUUCAUGUGUGCAGUUUUAGUGAUUUUACUGUUGAACUAAUUAAAGUGUUUUAACUAUAGAUUUAACAAAUGCCUGUUGUGUCCAGGAAAGCCCCAAAUCCAAGACAUAGUAUAACACCAGAUGUUAUUUGAAUAAAGUAAAAGGUAUCUAUUCACACCAAGCAAAUCUUCACAAUCCUCCAGGUAAUCAAACACAUAAAAAAUACAAAUACAUUUCAUAAUUAUUCAUUCUACCCUUUACCUCCAGCUGAGUGUUGUCUGCUACCACCCUACUCUGACUCCCAUGCCACCCUGCAGGUGUUCUGAUCAGGUUCAGCUUGAAGAGACACUGCCACCUGUCAUGUGGGGGAAUGAUCUGCUCCUUUCAUUAUGGCCUCCUGGCCGGGCAUGAAUCCUUCCUUUAUCCUGGCCAGGAUGCCAGUCCAUCCUCUCUGGCACUUACACUGUGUUUAUUUGAACAAGUAGGAACCAUGGAAGAUGCCAUUGGUAAUAGCCAUAAAAAUAGCAAGAGUUUUAAAAGCAUUGUCAAGUAUUUGCUUAAAUAACUAAGUGCCUGAUUGAUCAAUUUAAAACAUUUAAAAAAGAAAUGAAAAGAAAAGAAAAUUUACAUAUACCAGUAUUCUGAAUUUAGCUUUAUUAUUUCUUAGAUACGACGGUCAAAAACCUCCCUAAGUCACUCUACUCUGUGAUCGAGUUACAAAAUUUCAAAGGUACACCUCCUGUAACAGAUGGCAAAGUUGUAUGAAUCUUAAUUAUUUUGAAAACCAACAAGAAAUGAUUUUGCCAUCAGAAAGUUGUGAAAACUUUAGCCCUUCAAGAAUAGCACGCCAUUCCUCAACAGGCACUUUUAUGAAGCUGUCAAGUUGCCAUUGCCUGUUCUGGCAGUAAUGUCACCCUGAGUUUACCUGUAUGUGCAUUUACACUCUGUAUAUGAUUGUUAUGUUUAAAUGCUUCUGUUUGAAUAAGUAAAAUGAAAGAAGUUGUACUGUAA